ACCUGCACGAGCAUAGAACCUUGGCCGAGAGGCCCGGGUAAUCUUUUGAACGGGUGUCGUGAUAGGGACAGAUUAUUGCAAUUAUUAAUCUCGAACGAGGAAUUCCUAGUAAACGCGAAUCAUCAGUUCGCAUUGAUUACGU
rnacentral:rRNA from 1 species